rnacentral:rRNA from 1 species
AUUGAACGCUGGCGGCAGGCUUAACACAUGCAAGUCGAGCGGGGUGAUGGUGCUUGCACUAUCACUUAGCGGCGGACGGGUGAGUAAUGCUUAGGAAUCUGCCUAUUAGUGGGGGACAACAUCUCGAAAGGGAUGCUAAUACCGCAUACGUCCUACGGGAGAAAGCAGGGGAUCACUUGUGACCUUGCGCUAAUAGAUGAGCCUAAGCCGGAUUAGCUAGUUGGUGGGGUAAAGGCCUACCAAGGCGACGAUCUGUAGAGGGUCUGAGAGGAUGAUCCGCCACACUGGGACUGAAACACGGCCCAGACUCCUACGGGAGGCAGCAGUGGGGAAUAUUGGACAAUGGGGGGAACCCUGAUCCAGCCAUGCCGCGUGUGUGAAGAAGGCCUUAUGGUUGUAAAGCACUUUAAGCGAGGAGGAGGCUCUUUUGGUUAAUACCCAAGAUGAGUGGACGUUACUCGCAGAAUAAGCACCGGCUAACUCUGUGCCAGCCGCCGCCGUAA